CCUUCUCCUUAAUACAAAAACGUCCAACCCUUAUCAGUAUUUAUGGUUGUCAAUGACACAUUCAACAGUCCCCUCCCAGUCAGCUGCAUUCAUCACUUCCCUUUCCUCUUCAAACUUCACUCAAUCAGUGGAGGCAUCUGCAGAUCUCCAUCACUGACAGAGUCACACUCAGUGAUCUGAUAUAAGAUCCCAGAGACCAUAUCUAAAAUUCAUCAUAGUCAUCCUGACAAGUCAUAAUGAUCGACUUUCUCCUCUUCUGUUGUCUGGCAGGUGUUAGUCUGGGUCUUGAUGUGCGUCAGUCUCCCUCUGAUCUCAUCAAAUCUCCUGGAGACAAAGUGCAGAUCUCCUGCAGCCAUGAUAGAAAGGACUACAGGGUGAUUCUCUGGUACCAGCGCUCACCUGGAGACACAGCUCUGAAACUCAUCGGGUAUUUGUAUUUUAAAGAGGCCACAAUGGAGCAGCCAUUUAAAGAGGAUUUUAACAUCUCUGGAGAUUUGGGUGGGAGUACAGCAAAGAAUGCCUCUCUAAUAUUCAAAGCUGUGAAACCAGAGCACGGUGCAGUUUACUUCUGUGCAGCCAGCAAAGCACAGUGACUGUAGCUUCCUUCUCCUUAAUACAAAAACAUCCAACCCUUAUCAGUAGUUAUGGUUGUAAAUGACACAUUCAUCAGUCCCCUCCCAGUCAGCUGCAUGGAGUUUCUUCAUCACUUCCCUUUCCUCUUCAAACCUCACUCACUCAGUGGAGGCAUCUGCAGACCUCCAUCCCUGACAGAAUCAAACUAAAAUACUUUGUCAUAGUCAGCCUGACAUGUCCUGCUUU